rnacentral:rRNA from 1 species
AUUGAACGCUGGCGGCAUGCCUUACACAUGCAAGUCGAACGGCAGCGGGGGAGAAGCUUGCUUUUCCUGCCGGCGAGUGGCGAACGGGUGAGUAAUACAUCGGAACGUGCCCUGUAGUGGGGGAUAACUAGUCGAAAGAUUAGCUAAUACCGCAUACGACCUGAGGGUGAAAGGGGGGGACCGCAAGGCCUCAUGCUAUAGGAGCGGCCGAUGUCUGAUUAGCUAGUUGGUGGGGUAAAGGCCUCCCAAGGCGACGAUCAGUAGCUGGUCUGAGAGGACGAUCAGCCACACUGGGACUGAGACACGGACCAAAAUCCUACGGGAGGCAGCAGUGGGGAAUUUUGGACAAUGGGCGAAAGCCUGAUCCAGCAAUGCCGCGUGUGUGAAGAAGGCCUUCGGGUUGUAAAGCACUUUUGUCCGGAAAGAAAUGGCUCUGGUUAAUACCUGGGGUCGAUGACGGUACCGGAAGAAUAAGGACCGGCUAACUACGUGCCAGCCGCCGCGGUAA